UACAGAGGGUGCAAGCGUUAAUCGGAAUUACUGGGCGUAAAGCGUGCGUAGACGGUCAUGUAAGUCGGGUGUGAAAGCCCGGGGCUCAACCCCGGGUCGGCCGUGGCAACUGUCGAGCUGGAGCACUGUAGAGGCAGGUGGAAUUCCGGGUGUAGCGGUGGAAUGCGUAGAGAUCCGGAAGAACACCGGUGGCGAAGGCGGCCUGCUGGGCAGUGGCUGACGCUGAGGCGCGACAGCGUGGGGAGCAAACAGG
rnacentral:rRNA from 1 species